rnacentral:piRNA from 1 species
UUUCAGACAGUUUAGGGAUGGCAUUGAGGU